AUUGAACGCUGGCGGCAGGCUUAACACAUGCAAGUCGAACGAGUGGCGGACGGGUGAGUAAUGUCUGGGAACCUGCCUGAUGGCGGGGGAUAACUACUGGAAACGUUAGCUAAUACCGCAUACUAUUGGAUGUGCCCAUAUCGGAUUAGCUAGUUGGUGGGGUAAAGGCUCACCAAGGCGACGAUCCCUAGCUGGUCUGAGAGGAUGAUCGGCCAAACUGGAACUGAGACACGGUCCAGACUCCUACGGGAGGCAGCAGUGGGGAAUAUUGCACAAUGGGGGCAAGCCUGAUGCAGCCAUGCCGCGUGUAUGAAGAAGGCCUUCGGGUUGUAAAGUACUUUCAGCAGGGAAGCGUUACCCGCAGAAGAAGCACCGGCUAACUCCGUGCCAGCCGCCGCGGUAAUAC
rnacentral:rRNA from 1 species